rnacentral:rRNA from 1 species
AACGAACGCUGGCGGCAGGCCUAACACAUGCAAGUCGAACGAGAAGCUUUCCUUCGGGAAAGUGGAAAGUGGCAGACGGGUGAGUAACGCGUGGGAACGUGCCUCUCGGUUCGGAAUAACUCAGGGAAACUUGGGCUAAUACCGAAUACGCCCUUCGGGGGAAAGAGUUUAUCGCCGAUGGAUCGGCCCGCGUCAGAUUAGCUUGUUGGUGAGGUAAAGGCUCACCAAGGCGACGAUCUGUAGCUGGUCUGAGAGGAUGAUCAGCCACACUGGGACUGAGACACGGCCCAGACUCCUACGGGAGGCAGCAGUGGGGAAUAUUGGACAAUGGGCGCAAGCCUGAUCCAGCCAUGCCGCGUGGGUGAAGAAGGCCCUAGGGUUGUAAACCCCUUUCAGCGGGGAAGAUAAUGACGGUACCCGCAGAAGAAGCCCCGGCUAACUCCGUG